rnacentral:rRNA from 1 species
AGUAAUACAUCGGAACGUGUCUUCUAGUGGGGGAUAACUGCCCGAAAGGGCGAGCUAAUACCGCAUGAGACCUGAGGGUGAAAGCGGGGGAGUCGCAAGACCUCGCGCUGGAAGAGCGGCCGAUGUCCGAUUAGCUAGUUGGUGAGGUAAAGGCUCACCAAGGCGACGAUCGGUAGCUGGUCUGAGAGGACGACCAGCCACACUGGGACUGAGACACGGCCCAG